CCUACGGGCGGCAGCAGUGAGGAAUAUUGGUCAAUGGACGAGAGUCUGAACCAGCCAAGUAGCGUGAAGGAUGACUGCCCUAUGGGUUGUAAACUUCUUUUAUAUGGGAAUAAAAUGUUCCACGUGUGGGAUUUUGUAUGUACCAUAUGAAUAAGGAUCGGCUAACUCCGUGCCAGCAGCCGCGGUAAUACGGAGGAUCCGAGCGUUAUCCGGAUUUAUUGGGUUUAAAGGGAGCUAAGGUGGAUUGUUAAGUCAGUUGUGAAAGUUUGCGGCGCAACCGUAAAAUUGCAGUUGAAACUGGCAGUCUUGAGUACAGUAGAGGUGGGCGGAAUUCGUGGUGUAGCGGUGAAAUGCUUAGAUAUCACGAAGAACUCCGAUUGCGAAGGCAGUUCACUGGACUGCAACUGACACUGAGGCUCGAAAGUGUGGGUAUCAAACAGGAUUAGAUACCCCAGUAGUC
rnacentral:rRNA from 1 species